CCCUUAGAUGUCCUGGGCCGCACGCGCGCUACACUGAUGCAUGCAACGAGUUUAUAACCUUGGCCUGAAAGGUCUGGGUAAUCUUUUGAACGUGCAUCGUGAUAGGGAUAGACUAUUGCAAUUAUUGGUCUUCAACGAGGAAUUCCUAGUAGACGUAGUUCAUCAGACUGCAUCGAUUACGUCCCUGCCCUUUGUACACACCGCCCGUCGCUCCUACCGAUUGAAUGCUCAGGUGAGCCAUUCGGACUUUCAUCAUGCUGGUUUCCAGUUUUGAUGAAGGAAAGUCUUGCGAACCUUAUCAUUUAGAGGAAGGAGAAGUCGUAACA
rnacentral:rRNA from 1 species